AUACGUAGGUGGCAAGCAUUGUCCGGAUUUACUGGGUGUAAAGGGCGUGUAGGCGGAGAUGCAAGUCAGGAGUGAAAUCUAGGGGCUUAACCCAUAAACUGCAUUUGAAACUGUUAUUCUUGAGUAUCGGAGAGGCAGGCGGAAUUCCUAGUGUAGCGGUGAAAUGCGUAGAUAUUAGGAGGAACACCAGUGGCGAAGGCGGCCUGCUGGACGACAACUGACGCUGAGGCGCGAAAGCGUGGGGAGCAAACAGGAUUAGAUACCCUGGUAGUCCACACUGUAAACGAUGAAUGCUAGGUGUAAGAGGUAUCGACCCCUUUUGUGCCGGAGUCAACACAAUAAGCAUUCCGCCUGGGGAGUACGGCCGCAAGGUUGAAACUCAAAUGAAUUGACGGGG
rnacentral:rRNA from 1 species